rnacentral:rRNA from 1 species
ACAUGCAAGUCGAACGGGAGAAACUGAGAUGGAUUUAUUCAACUUAGCAGACACCGUGGCGGAUGGGUGAGUAACACGUAAGCAACCUGCCUAAAAGAGGGGAAUAACAGAGAGAAAUUUCUGAUAAUACCGCAUAUACCAAAGUAUCGCAUGGUACAAUUGGGAAAGAUUUAUCACUUUUAGAUGGGCUUGCGUCUGAUUAGCUAGUUGGUGAGAUAAUAGCUCACCAAGGCGACGAUCAGUAGCCGGAUUGAGAGGUUGAACGGCCACAUUGGGACUGAGACACGGCCCAGACUCCUACGGGAGGCAGCAGUCGGGAAUAUUGCACAAUGGAGGAAACUCUGAUGCAGUGACACCGCGUAUAGGAAGAAGGCCUUAGGGUUGUAAGCUAUUGUCGUGUGAGAAGAAAAUGACUAUCACAGGAGGAAGCCCUGGCUAAAUAUGUGCCAGCAGCCGCGGUAAUACAUAUGGGGCGAGCGUUAUCCGGAUUUAUUGGGUGUAAAGGGUUCGUAGGCGGGAAAGUAAGUCAGUAUGUGAAAUCCCUCGGCUCAACCGAGGAACUGCGAUUGAAACUAUUUUUCUUGAGUACUGGAGGGGAAAGUGGAAUUCUUAGUGUAGCGGUGAAAUGCGUAGAUAUUAGGAAGAACACCAGUGGCGAAGGCGACUUUCUGGACAGUAACUGACGCUGAGGAACGAAAGUGUGGGGAGCAAACAGGAUUAGAUACCCUGGUAGUCCACACUGUAAACGAUGGAUACUAGGGGUUGGCAUAGGAAAUGUCGGUCCCGCAGUUAACGCAUUAAGUAUCCCACCUGGGGAGUACGACCGCAAGGU